rnacentral:rRNA from 1 species
CAGCCGCCACGGGAAAACGAAGGGGGCUAGCGUUGCUCGGAAUGACUGGGCGUAAAGGGCGCGUAGGCGGAUUGUUUAGUUAGGCGUGAAAUUCCUGGGCUUAACCUGGGGACUGCGCUUAAUACAGGCAGUCUAGAGUGAGGAAGAGGGUUGUGGAAUUCCCAGUGUAGAGGUGAAAUUCGUAGAUAUUGGGAAGAACACCGGUGGCGAAGGCGGCGACCUGGUCCAUUACUGACGCUGAGGCGCGAAAGCGUGGGGAGCAAACAGGAUUAGAUACCCCCGUAGUCCCUGUCUCUUAUAC